CGUCAAAUCAUCAUGCCCCUUAUGUCCAGGGCUACACACGUACUACAAUGGCCGGAAACAACGCGAAGCGAAGCGGCGACGCGGAGCAAAUCGCCAAACCCGGUCCCAGUUCAGAUUGCAGGCUGCAACUCGCCUGCAUGAAGUCGGAAUUGCUAGUAAUCGCGAAUCAGCAUGUCGCGGUGAAUACGUUCCCGGGCCUU
rnacentral:rRNA from 1 species